UACGUAGGCAGCGAGCGUUGUUCGGAGUUACUGGGCGUAAAGGGUGUGUAGGCGGUUCUUUUAGUUUGGUGUGAAAUCUCCCGGCUCAACCGGGAGGGUGCGCCGAAUACUGAGGGACUAGAGUGCGGGAGAGGAAAGUGGAAUUCCUGGUGUAGCGGUGAAAUGCGUAGAUAUCAGGAGGAACACCGGUGGUGUAGACGGCUUUCUGGACCGUAACUGACGCUGAGACACGAAAGCGUGGGUAGCAAACAGG
rnacentral:rRNA from 1 species